UACGAAGGGGGCUAGCGUUGUUCGGAUUUACUGGGCGUAAAGCGCACGUAGGCGGAUCGAUCAGUCAGGGGUGAAAUCCCAGGGCUUAACCCUGGAACUGCCUUUGAUACUGUCGAUCUGGAGUAUGGAAGAGGUGAGUGGAAUUCCGAGUGUAGAGGUGAAAUUCGUAGAUAUUCGGAGGAACACCAGUGGCGAAGGCGGCUCACUGGUCCAUUACUGACGCUGAGGUGCGAAAGCGUGGGGAGCAAACAGG
rnacentral:rRNA from 1 species